GAUGAACGCUGGCGGCGUGCUUAACACAUGCAAGUCGAACGGAAAGGCUCCUGCUUGCAGGGGUACUCGAGUGGCGAACGGGUGAGUAACACGUGGGUGAUCUGCCCUGCACUUCGGGAUAAGCCUUGGAAACUGGGUCUAAUACCGGAUAGGACGAUGGUUUGGAUGCCAUUGUGGACAGUUUUUCGGUGUGGGAUGAGCUCGCGGCCUAUCAGCUUGUUGGUGGGGUAAUGGCCUACCAAGGCGUCGACGGGUAGCCGGCCUGAGAGGGUGUACGGCCACAUUGGGACUGAGAUACGGCCCAGACUCCUACGGGAGGCAGCAGUGGGGAAUAUUGCACAAUGGGCGCAAGCCUGAUGCAGCGACGCCGCGUGGGGGAUGACGGCCUUCGGGUUGUAAACUCCUUUCGCUAGGGACGAAGCGCAAGUGACGGUACCUGGAGAAGAAGCACCGGCUAACUACGUG
rnacentral:rRNA from 1 species